AUCUUCUCAAAACAUUUAACUUUGUAAUGUUUUGGAUUUUGGGAGUCAUUGCUGGCCGGUUGGAGUCAGCUCUCCUUAAAAGUAAAUAGGAUGGGAAAGGCCCUUUCUCCACUCAUUUGGUGUGAUAAUUAUCUAUGCCAAGGGGGGGUGAAGGCUUUUUUCAAGUCCGGGUCCUAAACCCAUGUAGACCAAA
rnacentral:misc_RNA from 1 species